UACAGGGGGGGCAAGCGUUGUUCGGAAUUACUGGGCGUAAAGGGCUCGUAGGUGGCCAACUAAGUCAGACGUGAAAUCCCUCAGCUUAACUGGGGACUGCGUCUGAUACUGGAUGGCUUGAGUUUGGGAGAGGGAUGCGGAAUUCCAGGUGUAGCGGUGAAAUGCGUAGAUAUCUGGAGGAACACCGGUGGCGAAGGCGGCAUCCUGGACCAACACUGACACUGAGGAGCGAAAGCCAGGGGAGCAAACGGG
rnacentral:rRNA from 1 species